rnacentral:rRNA from 1 species
CAGUCGCCGCGGUAAUACGUAGGUGGCAAGCGUUGUCCGGAAUUAUUGGGCGUAAAGGGCUCGCAGGCGGUUUCUUAAGUCUGAUGUGAAAGCCCCCGGCUCAACCGGGGAGGGUCAUUGGAAACUGGGAAACUUGAGUGCAGAAGAGGAGAGUGGAAUUCCACGUGUAGCGGUGAAAUGCGUAGAGAUGUGGAGGAACACCAGUGGCGAAGGCAACUCUCUGGUCUGUAACUGACGCUGAGGAGCGAAAGCGUGGGGAGCGAACAGGAUUAGAUACCCGUGUAGUCCCUGUCUCUUAUAC